GAUCUGCUGUGCCUGGAUUUUGCUUUUUGUUGUUUUGUGGAAGAAACCAGGUACCUCCACCCACACAUGUUCAAGCGCUGGAGUGGCACAUUACUAUUCUCGGAAGACCAAACCAGAACUAUAGUAAAACUAAUUUGGGUCUGGAUGUCCUGUGUAUGGUUGGGCGGAUGGAGUGUACACCUGAGCCUGGAGAUCUAGCUGUGCCUUGGAAUCAGCAGCUGGCUUGCUCUACAGUCUUUGGCUAGAUGCUUAGAAUAACUUUCAGAUGUAGAGUGUAUGUUGUUUUUUCAGGUGUUAUACCUGGCAGCUCUGAAACUACAUUGUGACUGCUUGCUUUCUUUUGUAAACUCAUGAUACAUGGCCACUUCCCUUCUAAGCACUGAGAUCCAUGAAUGUCUUGCACUGAAUGUGUAUUUCUUAUAGAAGUCCUCCUCAGAAAUAAAAAAAACAAAUUAUAAAUGCAGGCUACUAUGCUCUUAACUAUAUAUUUGUGUUAAGUGGAACAGACAAUAGUAAAUUCAGAUAACAGGUAAUUCAUUAUAACUGUUGACAGAACAAUGUUGACAUGUCUGAUCUCUAAUCAUAAUACUUUCAAAAAUGACCAUCUUGUAAUUUUCCCAAAUCUUCUGUGUUUAUGCCACGUGUUUAGGUAAGUUGGUGGUGAAACCCAAAGCCACUUCUUCACCAGAUCCAGUACAAGCUGGAAUGUAACCCUAAUAAUGCUUUGACAUUAACUUACCCUACAACCCCCAGCUUCAAAGCAGUCCAAGUCCCCUGUUUUGUAGAUGGGCCAAAAGGCCAUCAAACCACUGCCCUGUCUUCAUUUUUAUUUGCUUGCUUGGCUCUCUACUGCCACCGUCUUCAAUAUUCCAUGCUUGUUGCCCUGGGGCCCGUGCCAGGCAGAAUCAGGCAGGACUGAUGGCAGCAGGUCCCUCCCUCUCCAGUCUUUGUCCUUGUUGAGACAUUCUGAAGAUUUGUUAAAGGGUUUCCUGAACUGCCAGGGAUGCUAUUGAUUUUAAAAAGGAAAAAAAAUACUUUGUCCUUUUCUUCUGAGAAGAGAAUUUAAGAUGCGGUGAAAAUGGUCUUGCUGCUUUGAUAAUGGUUUCUCUCCAUGUUACCUUGUCAUUUUCAUCCUAAUAUGAAUUGUUGUUUUUACCUAGGCUGCAUAAUGUGCUCUUCCUAGUUUCUCAAACCAAAUAGCCACUGUAUUGAAGAAGAAAAUGAAUUUUAAACCUGUACCACUCUAAAUUCAGCAGCCUAAAAAGCCAUACAUUUUGCUCUGAGGAAAAUAAUCCAUUUAAUGAAACAGCAUGAAAAACAUACUGAUUUUUGGCAGCACAGACUGUCCUUAAAAACAAAUGACAUUUUCAAGAGAAAUGUGUGUUGAUAUAUUCUGAAAUGUGCAGAGUCAUGCUUAAAAGUUUAGGUGAAUGGUGUAUUAGUAUUCUUCACAUGGAUUAUUGAGGUCUUUUGUUUUACUUAGCUUUUGGUCCUCAGCAAAAGUUGAAUUAGUUCGCUCUGUCAGCCAGUGCUUAAAUCUCAUUUGCUUCAAUGAAGGCUUAGAUUUUGGAAAUGCAGAGUCUACAACUGAUGGUAUAUUUAUCCUGUAGUUAAACCUUUAUAUGCUCACCGUAUAACCUUGAGAAAGAAGGCUGGGCUUUUCAGCCCAGGCUGUAGUGUACCAUUUAAAUAUAUUUCAAAUCAAGUGACUAAUAAAACUUGGGAGCAUAUGUUGCAGUA